UACGGAAGGUGCAAGCGUUAGUCGGCCUUAUUGGGCGUAAAGGGUGCGUAGGCGGGAAAAUAAGUCGGACGUGAAAUUCUGGGGCUUAACCUCAGAGCUGCAUCCGAAACUGUUUUUCUAGAGGAAUGGCGGAGAAGACGGAAUUCCAUGUGUAGCGGUUAAAUGCGUAGAUAUAUGGAAGAACACCUGUGGCGAAAGCGGUCUUCUAGCCUCCUCCUGACGCUGAUGCACGAAAGCAAGGGGAGCAAACAGU
rnacentral:rRNA from 1 species